UUAACUAAUGGUGAUCAAUAAAUAUCACGUCAGCAUGUCCCUAAACAGCAGUGGGAUGGAAAGUCCAAGAUUCCACAUUUAGGCUGUUGACUCUGUUGGGAUCAGAACUACAGAAAUGAUUAAGCAAAGUAAUAUGCUACUAUUUCUACUGACAUGGGUGAUACUUGUGCAUACUGGAGAAGGGAUUGCAUUUAAUCAUAGCAAAACGUCUGUUGUUGAAGCUCCUAUGGAGGUGAACCUCUUCAAUGGAACUCUUUUUGCCACUUGUGAACUCAUACCUGACCCCAAACUUCCCACUGGCCAACCUAAAAUAUAUGGACAAGUUCUCUUCAAACAAAUCUUCCCAGGAGGAAAACUGGAAGUGCUGGUCAAUGCUCAUGGCCUAUCCACUGAUGACGAGCAGAAGCGAGCUAUUCACAUCCAUCAAUAUGGAGACCUGAGCCAAGGAUGCAUCACUGCUGGUCCACACUACAAUCCCCUUGGGGUCAACCAUCCCUCACACCCUGGUGAUUUGGGAAACUAUGUGGCCAUCAAUGGAACUAUAAGGCAACAUCUAAACAUGGAAGGAGCCACCCUUUUUGGAGGUCAGUCAAUUUUGGGACGUGCCAUUGUGAUCCAUGAGAAGGAAGAUGACUUUGGGCUUGGGUCAAAUGAAGAGAGCAAACGAAGUGGGAAUGCUGGAAGAAGGAUCGCUGGAUGUGUCAUUGGCAUCUCGACUCCUAGCCUAUGGGAGAAACUCACCAUGGAGUUAGGGAGUGAAAAGAGCAAGGCAGAACAUGAAAAAUAGAAGAGGAAGCAUGUGAGAUGAAUGAAGGAAACAAUAAGUCAAAGCCAUAUCACAUACUGGGCUGUUUUCAGCAUAAUAGAUACUUUCUAAUGUUAUUUUACAAGCACAAAUGUCACUAUCAUAGAGAAAAGUCAAGAUACUCUUUAUAUAUGUAGACUAUUGUAAUUCAUUAGCAUAUUUCAAGAAAUUUCUCAAGAAAUCCAUUUUUUAACAUUUUGGGAAGAUUAUUCAAGAAUAUUUCCCAAGAAGCAUUUAAAUGUGGAUAUGGCUGCUUAAAUCCAUUAAAUAACAUAUACUUACAUGCUUAUAGUAAUGCAACUUUGACAUACUUUCAGCAGAGAGGUUUCAAACCAUAGCAAUAAAAGAGUUUUGUAUGUAAUUAAUACAUAAUAAGAAACAAAACAAUUUUAUAACACAUUUCCUUGUGUUUUUCUUGCAUGGGUGGUACAAUAAACAUCUAAAAAAUCAUACAUAAUAAUAAUACAACAUUUAAAAUGGAUAUAUUGCACGGCAUUAAGUAGUACAUUUGUGAAUGUGUGAAGUACACUUGCCGUUUAGCAGGAGUGUGUAAGCUAUCUAUGAAACACUUAGCUGGACAUAUGAGCCUGUAAGAAGCCAACAGCAGAGGUCCAAAAGAUUUAUGAUGUAUCCAGCAUCCAUGAACCUAUAUAAAACCUCAGUUCUCAGGUAAGAAGCAAAUCAAAUGGACAAUAAAUUAGGGUAUAAAACUCAAUGUUCUUUGUGCUUCUUCAUAAGGUCUCUUUGGGAUCUUCCAUAUGGGCAGCACAACAACAAUAACUGGAUCCAAUAUAUAAGUUAAGGAAGAAUGUGAGGAGUCAACAUCAGUUAUCUGUGUGACCAAGGUCAAGCAAAAGGAUUCUCACGGAUUUACAGCCUAUUCCUAGAACACUGGGCACGAGGUGGAAAUACAAGAAUGGCAGAUUGUACACACAUUUGCACAAACAAUGACACUUUUUGUGUAAGUGGGAAGAAACCAGAGAACCCAUAUGGACACAGGGAGAACAUUAUAGACUCUUUAGACGAUCCUACUUUCCACAGUCCUAACUGAAAGCACAUUCCCAACCCAUCUUAGACUCAUACCUGCACUCAGAUCUGACAGUGUCUCCUUAUUCCUCUAUGAAUAAUUGAACAGUGUCUGUGUGCAUCCUCCUGAACCAAUGUGCUGUUCUUUGUCUAAAACAACCUAAGAGUGAGUAGGGAAUAUCUUCCUUCCUGUGGAGUAGCUGUGGCAGGAGACUGACGAUCUGACACUGAGACAGUGGGGGCGUGUGAUGGGGACGCUGGGCUGAUGUGGGGGAUGGAGGGUGUGA